rnacentral:rRNA from 1 species
UGAAUACGAGAUGCUACGGCGUCGAAGCAGUCUAUGUCAUACUUCCAAGAAAAGCUUGCACUGUCAUAAACAAAUAAUGCCUGUACCAUAACCGACACAGGUGGGUAGGUAGAGUAUACUAAGGGGCGCGAGAUAACUCUCUCUAAGGAACUCGGCAAAAUGACUCCGUAACUUCGGGAGAAGGAGUGCCUUAUUUAUAAGGUUGCAAUAACAAGAUCCAAGCAACUGUUUACCAAAAACACAGGUCUCCGCUAAGUCGUAAGACGAUGUAUGGGGGCUGACGCCUGCCCAGUGCCAGAAGGUUAAAGAAGUUGGUUAGCAUCCGCGAAGCUGAUAACUGAAGCCCUGGUGAACGGCGGCCGUAACUAUAACGGUCCUAAGGUAGCGAAAUUCCUUGUCGGGUAAGUUCCGACCCGCACGAAAGGCGUAAUGAUUUGGAUACUGUCUCGGAGAGGGGCUCGGUGAAAUAGACUUGUCUGUGAAGAUGCGGACUACCUGCACCAGGACAGAAAGACCCUAUGAAGCUUUACUGUAACCUGAAAUUGAAAUUGGACUUUACUUGCGCAGUAUAGGUGGGAGGCGUUGAGAAUAUUCUUGCGGGAUUAUUGGAGCCAUCAGUGAGAUACCACUCUUGUAAUGUUAGAUUUCUAACUUUGUAUCAUUAUCUGGUCAAAGAACAGUUUCAGGCGGGCAGUUUGACUGGGGCGGUCGCCUCCUAAACGGUAACGGAGGCGCACAAAGGUUUCCUCUGAACGGGUAGAAAUCGUAUCUAGAGUGUAAAGGCAUAAGGAAGCUUGACUGUGAGACCUACAAGUCGAGCAGGGACGAAAGUCGGUCUUAGUGAUCUGACGGUGCUGAGUGGAAAGGCCGUCACUCAACGGAUAAAAGUUACUCUAAGGAUAACAGGCUGAUCUCCCCCAAGAGUUCACAUCGACGGGGAGGUUUGGCACCUCGAUGUCGGCUCAUCGCAUCCUGGGGCGGUAGUACGUCCCAAGGGUUGGGCUGUUCGCCCAUGAAAGCGGUACGCGAGCUGGGUUCAGAACGUCGUGAGACAGUUCGGUCCAUAUCCGGUGUAGGCGUUAGAAUAUUGAGAGGAGCCUUCUUUAGUACGAGAGGACCGAGAAGGACAUACCUCUGGUGUACCAGUUAUCGUGCCAACGGUAAACGCUGGGUAGCUAUGUGUGGAGUGGAUAACCGCUGAAAGCAUCUAAGUGGGAAGCCCACCUCAAGAUAAGAUUUCCCUGACGUAAGUCCUGAAGAUUCGUUCUAGACUAGGACGUUGAUAGGCUGGA